AAGACUAUAUUUUCAGGGAUCAUUUCUAUAGUUUUUUACUUGGAAAUGUGUUUUGAAAGUGUUUGUCUCCCAACCCGCGAUGAUGAGCUGUGGUGCUCCUUUCUGAGAGCGAAUCAAAGACAGAGUGGCGGUCUACGUCGCACUCUGUUGUUGAUGAGCGUUUUGUAUUGCGUUUGGCAAUAUAGGGCGAAAGAGUAUAUGAUCUGAGUGGU